rnacentral:lncRNA from 1 species
GUAUCGUCGUGUUCAUCGAAGGAGUCGGUUUGUGACGAGUUUGGUAUUUCUUGAACGGAACAAAAGUUUGAAACAACUCAAUUUAUGAGGAAAAUUCGAUUCAAUUCGUGAGAAAAUUGAUCGUGUAUAAUUUGUUUUCAUCGUUGUAUUUAUAAAAAUUUAUUUGUAACAUAAUGAUAGUACCGCGUUCCUUCAACGACGAGGGCUAGCCUUGCCCUUGAAACGGCAGCCGGAGUUUCGAGUGGCCGAUACAGCGUAACGCGCACGACGACGUUCCAACCAGCUGUGCUCCGGAAUCGCGAAUCGCGUGUGUGUUGUGUUCGACGUUUUUUCUUGUUUAUCUUUUCUACGUGCGAGUUUCUCAUCUUCUUGUCUCAUAUUCGUUCAUGUUACCGUGAUUCAUGACAAAAGAAGACAGUCGUUGCCGGUUUUUUUUUUACGUAUUGCUUUUGUUGGUCUUGUUUAGUGUUUAUUGGUGAGAAUCUACCGGGACGAUAGGAACAAAGGGACGGAGCUAACAGUUGUGAAAGGGCAACAGAGACAGAUAGAGUGAGAGAGAGAUAUCGUGGUGUAUCGAUCGAAAGUGGAGCUCGCAGUUGACGUCACAAAAUCCAGAGGGAAUUAGAGCGUGCACCGCGGGGCCAGUUGAAAUACGAAAAAGAAAGAAGAAAAGAAAGAGAUUCAUCGAGAGAUUGACACGAAACCGGAAAGAAAAGAAAGCGAAGAGAGACCAAAACGAAGAGUGGAAAUUCGACCAAGAGAACAGGUGUACCGACGGAGGGCAUAGAAUAGCUAUGCAGCGAUACGAAGCGCGGUGCUCGUCCGCGACGAGGCGAUGAGAAGGCUGAAUGGAGGCCGAGGAAGCCUCAGAGCCCCCUGGGGCUCCGACGAAUCUUUCCUCAGAGAAGCACAACAAGAUGAACCGUAGUCGCACACCGCAUUCAUUCUUUAACUAAAUCAUCAACUAUCCUUUGCAACUUGUACAAAAUUGCAAUUAAAAUAUAAACAAUUGAUAUUGUCAACCAACGAAACAAUCAAAACUCUCGAUUCCACUUUGGAGAAACGAUUUUGAAGAAACCGCGUUUUUACAUACCUACGAACAGAUCGAUCGAUCAUCCAAUUAGUUUAGAAAAUUCAAACAGCAGAGCUCUUCACGAACACACGGCCUCUGAUACAUUUCCCAUUCAGACGCACAAACCACUUCGGAAUUGUGUUUGAUAUGAACGUAAAUCUGAAAGGAAAAAAUCUAUUAACGCGCGAUAACCAAGAGUUCUGAGCAACGAAGUGUAAUUACGAUUAGGAUCGUUUGGUUUAACUCUUAUUAAAUAAGGAAGGAACAAUCGUUUGGAAAGAUGGCCGCACCAGUGAUAGAGAAGAAACGAUUCUUUUGCCGCGAAUGGGCGUUCACCAAAUUGUCCCAUUGUUUGGAGCAAAGGCCAGCCUCGAAAACCUGCGGUGUCCUGGUCGUCGGUGGUCCAGGAAGCGGGAAAACUGCGUUCAGUGCCGAAUUAGCUUGGCCAUCGGCCGGUGCCAAUGCCAGACAUCAGAGAUCUUUGAACAGGAGAUUAUUGGCCAGGCAUUUUUGCCAAGCUAGGAGCGAGGCAUCCUUGUCGCCAGCACAAUUCGUCAGAUCCUUAGUUGCUCAGCUUUUGCAACCCGGUUCAGAUGGAAUUCAUAGGGUGUCUUCGAGCUCUCCAAUACCAGGAAGCACAACGACCACCAAUGCCACAACAGUACCAUUAACAUCGAGGGAAAUGGUGGCAGAAGCGUACGCGGAAAAGCUUAGAACCGAUCCAGAAAUACAGGCCGCCUUGCAACCAGAUAUUCUUGACAGAGAUCCCGACGACGCUUUAAAGAAGGCACUACUGUUUCCUCUUCUCGAGUUGGAACCACCAAAAAAUUGUCUGUUUCUGUUAGUUGAUUCCAUAGACGAGGGUCAAACUUUGGAUCUCCCACAAACUGGUACCAGAGAUUCAAGAAGGGAAAAUGAUAACGUUAGUAGAACGAUUGCUGAAUUGUUGGCUAAUCAUCAUCACCUGUUCCCCCAAUGGUUAUUGUUGGUUUGUACCGCUCGGCGUCAGAGCAAACCGAUCUCGAGGAUGUUCAGCGGCUUCCGGAAAAUCCCUUUGGAUGAUUUAAGGAAGUCCUUAGUGGUCAGAGACAUUCAGCAAUAUAUUCUCGCUCGGUUGGAUCAAGAAGAUGCGCUCAGGCAGCACAUCUCGCGCGACACAGCCGAGAUGCUAAACCAGCUGCACAUCAAGAGCAACGGCUGUUUCCUGUACCUAGAGAAAGUUCUCGACGGCGUGGCCGAGAACUUUAUCGUGUUACGCGAAGUUCGCGAGAUACCAGGCACCCUGAAUGGUCUCUACCUAUGGCUGUGUCAAAGACUCUUCAGUAGAAAGCAAUUUGCCAAAGUUCAACCUUUGCUAAACGUGAUACUGGCCGCGAAACUACCAAUCACACAAGAGAUACUCUACAAAUGCGUAAAAACGGCAUGCACGAGUAUCACCAUAGAAGACUUCAACCGGCGUUUGCACCUUUUACGCAGAGUCAUCUCUGUCUCCCGUGCAGGGGCGUUGAUGCUAUUCCAUCAUAGUUUCGCAGAAUGGUUGCUGGACGUAAAACAUUGCACGCAGAAAUAUUUAUGUUCCGCUAUCGAGGGUCACGCAAUGCUGGCCGCUUAUUAUACUCUUCGUGGUCCGGAAUUAAACGCCGACGAGAUCUGCGUGUUAGGACAACAUCUGCAACGAGCCAUAACAAGUAUAGCUACUACAAAUUGUAACCUGGAUGUGCACACGCUUCAAGUGGUUUGGAUGGUAGGCAGUGGAGCGCCUAUAGAAGACUGUUACCUGGAUAGUUCUGAAUGCAUUCUCUGGCCCAGGCAAGAAGUGAAAUUGUUGAAGUUGUUGAUCGAUGCCGGAGCCAAACCAUCCGAGAAAAUUGUCGAAGACGAUGCCAAUAAAGAUGCUGUCUCUUCUAGUCAAGUCUCGCAAGAUGUAAGCCCUAUGGAUGAAUCUCCCAGCGAACCAUUAACGGAACUACUCGGCGAAAGCGGAGACAUCAAUCAAGCUGAUUCUUGCGGACGAACAGUACUGCACACGCUUGCUGCAGAUGGUAAUGCAUCUCUGCUGGAGCUGGCUCUAGCGACGUGUCCACAGGCAAAAUUGGAAGCUACUGAUCGUCACGGUCAAACACCUUUAAAUCUUGCUGCCAGGCAUGGUUAUGCGGAUGUGGUGCGAGUUUUGUUGGCUGCUGGGGCUUGUGCGGAUCAUGCUGACUGCGAUGGAUGGACAGCUCUCAGGGCUGCUGCCUGGGGUGGACAUACUCAGGUAGUCGAAAUGCUGUUGGAGCACGGAGCAAUGGUGGAUUGCGCCGAUUGGGAUCAACGAACCGCGCUCAGAGCAGCCGCUUGGGGUGGCCACGAGGACAUCGUUAAAGCGCUUCUACAGCAUGGCGCCGACGUGAACAGAACGGAUGACGAGGGUAGAACCGCCUUAAUUGCCGCUGCUUACAUGGGUCACAGCGAGAUCGUCGAACAUCUUCUAGACUUCGGCGCGGAGAUCGAUCAUGCCGAUAAUGAUGGAAGGACUGCACUCAGCGUCGCUGCCCUCUGUGUCCCUUCCAAUCAUGGCUAUGCAAAAGUAGUUACGAUUCUAUUGGAAAGAGGAGCUGCAGUCGAUCAUCAAGAUAAGGAUGGUAUGACACCAUUAUUAGUGGCUGCAUUCGAAGGACAUAGAGACGUUUGUGAAUUAUUGUUGGAAUACGAGGCAGAUGUAGAUCAUUGCGAUGCUACGGGUCGCACACCUUUGUGGGCAGCUGCUAGCAUGGGCCAUGGAUCAGUGGUUGCUCUUCUUUUAUUCUGGGGAUGUUAUGUUGAUAGCAUCGAUAAUGAGGGCAGAACAGUUUUGAGUGUGGCUGCUGCUCAAGGUGGCACAGAUGUAGUAAAACAAUUAUUAGAUCGAGGCUUAGACGAACAACAUAGAGACAAUUCAGGUUGGACACCCUUACAUUAUGCAGCAUUUGAAGGUCACAUUGAUGUUUGCGAAGCACUACUAGAAGCAGGAGCCAAAAUUGAUGAAACUGACAAUGAUGGAAAAGGUGCACUAAUGUUGGCUGCACAAGAAGGACAUGCUGCAUUAGUUGAAAGAUUGUUAGAACAGCAUGGAGCGCCAAUCGAUCAACAUGCUCAUGAUGGAAAAACUGCUCUCAGACUUGCAGCUUUGGAAGGUCAUUACGAUACUGUCAGGGUACUAUUAGCUCAUAAUGCAGAUGUGAAUGCAAAAGAUGCUGAUGGGAGAAGCACUCUUUAUAUUCUUGCUCUAGAGAACAGAUUGGCAAUGGCACGAUUUUUGUUGGAGCAUGCUCGAGCAGAUGUAGAAAGCAGGGAUUCAGAAGGACGAACUCCUCUGCAUGUAAGUGCUUGGCAGGGACAUGUCGAAAUGGUAGCUUUGUUAUUAACAGAAGGUGGUGCUAGUGUAAAUGCUUGUGACAAUGAGAAUAGAACUCCUUUACAUUCUGCAGCCUGGCAAGGUCAUGCAGCCAUUGUCAGAUUGCUCCUUGAACAUGGAGCAACUCCUGAUCAUACUUGUAAUCAAGGAGCAACAGCUUUAGGUAUCGCCGCACAAGAGGGUCAUGAACACUGUGUACGAGCACUCUUAAAUCACGGUGCUGAUCCCAGCCAUUCUGAUCAUUGUGGUCGAAAUGCUAUCAAAGUAGCUGCCAAAAGCGGCCACGAUACAGUAGUAAGACUGCUCGAGGAAUAUUCGGCUAAUCAACGAAGUCUAAGGCCUGGCAUCAAUGGAGGUGGAAGUAGUAGUGCUACUUCAGUAACAUCAAAUUCGACAGCAGAAACAAAACCAUCGUCCGCAAUUUUGAAUCCUCUUUCAACUCAAUACAGUCCGGCAGAAUCGCCGGAUUCGACAAAAAGAAGAAGUUGCGUGUCUCUGGGAAAUAAUUCCAGCAACAGCAAAUCUAGUAGCAACCUAACUGGUAGCACAAAAAGCGAUCAGGGGAAAUUUAACCAGAACUCGAUGGUGAAUCAGGUAAUAAAAACACCAUUAUCUUUCACGCAACAACUGCAACAAUGCUCGAGGGGAGCCAAGAGUCGUCCACUCAGCAAACUUUUAUCACCUCUGAAAAGUGAACCGCAAAGUCCUAUCUACGCUUCACCACCUCAUUCGCCGUUAAGUGACAGCCUGAUACCUUAUUCGCCAACAAACACAAGUCCACCUAGUGCUCAGACCGCAGCGAAUGUGAUACAGAAUCAACUUGGAGUAUCAUUGUUAACUGGAAAUCAAAAUAUACCAUAUAAAGUGCAGAUCGGAGGAUAUAAUCAUACAUCGGCUAUUUACGAACCGAUUAAUAUAAAAACCGAGAUCAUCGAUAAAAAUGAAAUUAGCAAACCAUUUGAAUUAACGAACGAAAUGUUAGGUUUAAGUGUAACAAAAGAUAAAAAAAAUGGACUUGAUGAAAAAAGAAAUUCAGCCGACACUCAUUUCACUAGAGAUACUCAUAUGAGAAUAAUAUUGGGUAAUAGUGGUGCUGGUGUUGGCAGAAGCGUAAAACAUGCUUCAGAUCAUACACCUGCUAGUGCAAGUAAUGCAAAACCAAAGCGUAAUGGUUUGGUUUCCAAUCCAGCCAUGAGAUUAGUAGCAGGUGUUAGGAAUGGAAUUGAAAAUGCAACUAAUAGAAACAAACCUAUCACAACGCGAGUUAAUGGAUUUCAGUGGAAGGCUGAGGCACGAAAGGAAACACCUUUGUAGGGACAGGUUGUAUUCUCAGAAACAUCUCAGCGGGAUACUGGAAUUCGUUAUUGCGGCUGGCGAAUUGUAAUCACCAAAAAGCGGAAGUCAAUAAAUAAAUUUUUUUCUUUUUAUUUGAGCAAAAUCAAAUUACCUCACAUGAAAAAAUAGAUUAAAAAAAUAAUAAGAAUUGCAGUCAAAAGGAAAAUAAUAUAAAAACAAAAAUUGCGUAAUAUAAAAAAAACCAAAUAUUAAACAGUAUAGAAAAAUAUGUAGAUCUAGAUAUGUAAACUUUACGAAACGUGACUUUGUAUAAAUGUAACGUUAAUAAAAUUCUUUAUUGAUCUCACUAAUACUUCAUAUAAACGAAAAAAAAAUGAAUUAAUUAUUGAAACCUUUAAAAUUUAAGUAAUUAUGAUUUUAAUGAAAAAAGAUGAUAUAUUAUAAAAUUUUUUUCUUCAGAAGACUGGAUGCAAAUGAAAUUCAUAAUGUGAUGUGAAUGAUGCAGCAUUGUAAAGAUAUGUAUAAAUUAUAUUAAACGAUUAAAAAAAAAAAUAUAGCAUGAUAAUGCAAAUUAUCAAUUACAAAUACGUAAAAUUAUGGCCUGAAAAUUAAUAAAAACGUGUGUAAA